UGUUUCUGGGGAAAAAACGGGGUCAAAAUCCCCCCAAAAUCCCCCAAAAUCCCCAUUCCCCACUCAACCAAACCCCUUUUUGGGUGAGGAAGAGGCGAUUUGGGUCAGGGAAACUCAAAUUGGAUCGGUGUGUUAAGUCAUUAGGAUGAGACUGGGUUGGGUUCGAUGCUCUUUAGGAGCUGUUUGAUCCCAAAUUAAUCCCAAAUUCCCUGAUUUUGUGGGCUCCUCAUCCCAGAAAAACCCUGGAGCUGCAGGAGAGGUGUCAACCUCUCUCCCAAGGAAAGGAAAAAUGGGGAGAAAUCCAGAGAGGUGAGAACAAGGCAGCUCCAGCUUGGGAAAGAAGUGAUUUUAGGAUUUUUUACCCCAAUUUCAGCCUGACUCCUCACCUCCUCCACCUCCAGGUCGAUGCACCAGAUGACCAGGUAGUUGGCUGUCUCCUCGCAGACCAGGUGAGGGUUGUCCGACAGGUACUUCUGGCUGUCAUCCCAGCGCCUCAGCAUCCCUGCAACCAGGGAAAGAGGAGAAUUCCCCCUCCUCAGCCAGGGAACAAACCCCAAACUCCGUCAGGAUGAGGGUGGCCAGGAGGGCGAGCACCUCAUCGUGAAAUUUAACUAAACUCCCCCAAAACUGUGCUUCAGCAGGGGAAAAAAAUGGGAAAACCACACAAAAUCCUCGAUUUUUCAGCGCAGCGAGAGGAUUCCCGGCUGCUCCCACCACACGGGGUGUUCCCAAGCUUGGAGAACCCCAAAAAGUUUCCUCCCCCCUGAAAAUCCCUCACCAAAGUGUUUAAUCUGCUUCUCGUAUCGCUCCACGAAGGUUUUGUGUUUCUUCUCCUUCUGCUCCUCCGUCUCCUCCUUCUCCUCAGGCUUCACGUUGACAACGCUCUGGGAACGCCAAGGAAGGCAGGGAAUGAUUUGGGGAAUUUAGGACACGCUGGGGGUGCUUUUUUUGGGGGGGGUUUUCCUCCCCAAAACCCCCACCUUGCUGAAGCCAUCCUUGCUGAGCGUGUCCACGUUCCAGGGCAUGUUCUUCUCCUUCUUCCUCAGCUCCUCCAGCUUGUUCUCCCAACUUUUCUCCUCGUUCCUCAGCUGCUGGGCCUCGGCCUGGAGCU